rnacentral:rRNA from 1 species
UACGAAGGGUGCUAGCGUUGUUCGGAAUCACUGGGCGUAAAGCGCACGUAGGCGGCUUUCUAAGUCAGGGGUGAAAUCCUGGAGCUCAACUCCAGAACUGCCUUUGAUACUGGAGAGCUUGAGUCCGGAAGAGGUGAGUGGAACUCCGAGUGUAGAGGUGAAAUUCGUAGAUAUUCGGAAGAACACCAGUGGCGAAGGCGGCUCACUGGUCCGGUACUGACGCUGAGGUGCGAAAGCGUGGGGAGCAAACAGG